GUUAAGCGACUAAGCGUACACGGUGGAUGCCCUGGCAGUCAGAGGCGAUGAAGGACGUGCUAAUCUGCGAUAAGCGUCGGUAAGGUGAUAUGAACCGUUAUAACCGGCGAUUUCCGAAUGGGGAAACCCAGUGUGUUUCGACACACUAUCAUUAACUGAAUCCAUAGGUUAAUGAGGCGAACCGGGGGAACUGAAACAUCUAAGUACCCCGAGGAAAAGAAAUCAACCGAGAUUCCCCCAGUAGCGGCGAGCGAACGGGGAGCAGCCCAGAGUCUGAAUCAGUGUGUGUGUUAGUGGAAGCGUCUGGAAAGGCGCGCGAUACAGGGUGACAGCCCCGUACACAAAAAUGCACAUACUGUGAGCUCGAUGAGUAGGGCGGGACACGUGGUAUCCUGUCUGAAUAUGGGGGGACCAUCCUCCAAGGCUAAAUACUCCUGACUGACCGAUAGUGAACCAGUACCGUGAGGGAAAGGCGAAAAGAACCCCGGCGAGGGGAGUGAAAAAGAACCUGAAACCGUGUACGUACAAGCAGUGGGAGCACGCUUAGGCGUGUGACUGCGUACCUUUUGUAUAAUGGGUCAGCGACUUAUAUUCUGUAGCAAGGUUAACCGAAUAGGGGAGCCGAAGGGAAACCGAGUCUUAACUGGGCGUUAAGUUGCAGGGUAUAGACCCGAAACCCGGUGAUCUAGCCAUGGGCAGGUUGAAGGUUGGGUAACACUAACUGGAGGACCGAACCGACUAAUGUUGAAAAAUUAGCGGAUGACUUGUGGCUGGGGGUGAAAGGCCAAUCAAACCGGGAGAUAGCUGGUUCUCCCCGAAAGCUAUUUAGGUAGCGCCUCGUGAAUUCAUCUCCGGGGGUAGAGCACUGUUUCGGCAAGGGGGUCAUCCCGACUUACCAACCCGAUGCAAACUGCGAAUACCGGAGAAUGUUAUCACGGGAGACACACGGCGGGUGCUAACGUCCGUCGUGAAGAGGGAAACAACCCAGACCGCCAGCUAAGGUCCCAAAGUCAUGGUUAAGUGGGAAACGAUGUGGGAAGGCCCAGACAGCCAGGAUGUUGGCUUAGAAGCAGCCAUCAUUUAAAGAAAGCGUAAUAGCUCACUGGUCGAGUCGGCCUGCGCGGAAGAUGUAACGGGGCUAAACCAUGCACCGAAGCUGCGGCAGCGACGCUUAUGCGUUGUUGGGUAGGGGAGCGUUCUGUAAGCCUGUGAAGGUGUGCUGUGAGGCAUGCUGGAGGUAUCAGAAGUGCGAAUGCUG
rnacentral:rRNA from 1 species